rnacentral:rRNA from 1 species
AUUGAACGCUGGCGGCAUGCUUUACACAUGCAAGUCGAACGGUAACAGGCCGCAAGGUGCUGACGAGUGGCGAACGGGUGAGUAAUGCAUCGGAACGUGCCCAGUCGUGGGGGAUAACUACUCGAAAGAGUAGCUAAUACCGCAUACGAUCUAUGGAUGAAAGCGGGGGACCGUAAGGCCUCGCGCGAUUGGAGCGGCCGUUGUCAGAUUAGGUAGUUGGUGGGGUAAAGGCUCACCAAGCCAACGAUCUGUAGCUGGUCUGAGAGGACGACCAGCCACACUGGGACUGAGACACGGCCCAGACUCCUACGGGAGGCAGCAGUGGGGAAUUUUGGACAAUGGGCGCAAGCCUGAUCCAGCAAUGCCGCGUGCAGGAAGAAGGCCUUCGGGUUGUAAACUGCUUUUGUACGGAACGAAACGGCUCUGGUUAAUACCCGGGGCUAAUGACGGUACCGUAAGAAUAAGCACCGGCUAACUACGUG